CGGACGGGUGAGUACCACGUGGGUACCUCCCCCUCCGGGUGAGGGAAUACCACCGAGAAAUCGGUGACAAUACCGCAUACGCUCGGGCAACCGAGCAAAGUCUUGGAAGAGACGCCUGGGGAUGGGCCUGCGCCUGAUUAGCUAGUUGGUGGGGUAAAAGCCUACCAAGGCUGCGAUCAGUAGCUGGUCUGAGAGGAUGAUCAGCCACACUGGGAUUGAGAACGGCCCAG
rnacentral:rRNA from 1 species